rnacentral:rRNA from 1 species
UACAGGGGGUGCAAACGUUGCUCGGAAUCAUUGGGCGUAAAGCGCACGUAGGCGGUUCGUUAUGUCGGAUGUGAAAGCCCUUGGCUUAACCGAGGAAGUGCAUCCGAAACUGGCGAGCUAGAGUACGAAAGAGGAUCGCGGAAUUCCCGGUGUAGAGGUGAAAUUCGUAGAUAUCGGGAGGAACACCGGUGGCGAAGGCGGUGGGCUGGGCCGGAACUGACGCUGAGGAGCGAAAGCGUGGGGAGCGAACAGG